UACGGGGGGAGCAAGCGUUGUUCGGAUUUACUGGGCGUAAAGGGCUCGUAGGCGGCCAACUAAGUCAGACGUGAAAUCCCCAGGCUCAACCUGGGAACUGCGUCUGAUACUGAUUGGCUUGAAUCCGGGAGAGGGAUGCAGAAUUCCAGGUGUAGCGGUGAAAUGCGUAGAUAUCUGGAGGAAUACCGGUGGCGAAGGCGGCAUCCUGGACCGGCAUUGACGCUGAGGAGCGAAAGCCAGGGGAGCAAACGGG
rnacentral:rRNA from 1 species